rnacentral:rRNA from 1 species
CCUACGGGAGGCAGCAGUGGGGAAUAUUGCACAAUGGGGGGAACCCUGAUGCAGCGACGCCGCGUGAGUGAAGAAGUAUUUCGGUAUGUAAAGCUCUAUCAGCAGGGAAGAAAAUGACGGUACCUGACUAAGAAGCCCCGGCUAACUACGUGCCAGCAGCCGCGGUAAUACGUAGGGGGCAAGCGUUAUCCGGAUUUACUGGGUGUAAAGGGAGCGUAGACGGUUAUGCAAGUCUGAAGUGAAAGCCCAAGGCUCAACCAUGGGACUGCUUUGGACACUGUAAAACUGGAGUGCGGGAGGGGCAGGCGGAAUUCCUGGUGUAGCGGUGAAAGGCGUAGAUAUCAGGAGGAACACCGGCGGCGAAGGCGGCCUGCUGGACCGCGACUGACGUUGAGGCUCGAAAGCGUGGGGAGCGAACAGGAUUAGAUACCCCUGUAGUC